GAAUUUUAUAUAUAAAAUUUAUUAGUAAAUUAAUUUUUAUUUGGAUAAGGUUGUAUAUUUAAUUGGGAGGAUUAUUAAAUUAAUUGAACUUUAAUUAAUAGGAGGAUAUUAAUAAAUAAUUUGUAAUUUUAAUUAUAAAGGAGGAUUAAUUAAUUGAUUUAGAAUUAAUUACCUUAGGGAUAACAGCGUAAUAAUUUUGGAAAGAACAUAUUAAUAAAAUUGAUUGC
rnacentral:rRNA from 1 species